GUGGCACACGUAGGGCAACCAGAUUG
rnacentral:piRNA from 1 species